rnacentral:rRNA from 1 species
AGUGAACGCUGGCGGUAGGCCUAACACAUGCAAGUCGAACGGCAGCACAGGAGAGCUUGCUCUCUGGGUGGCGAGUGGCGGACGGGUGAGGAAUACAUCGGAAUCUACUCUGUCGUGGGGGAUAACGUAGGGAAACUUACGCUAAUACCGCAUACGACCUACGGGUGAAAGCAGGGGACCUUCGGGCCUUGCGCGAUUGAAUGAGCCGAUGUCGGAUUAGCUAGUUGGCGGGGUAAAGGCCCACCAAGGCGACGAUCCGUAGCUGGUCUGAAAGGAUGAUCAGCCACACUGGACCUUAGACACGGUCCAGACUCCUACGGGAGGCAGCAGUGGGGAAUAUUGGACAAUGGGCGCAAGCCUGAUCCAGCCAUACCGCGUGGGUGAAGAAGGCCUUCGGGUUGUAAAGCCCUUUUGUUGGGAAAGAAAUCCAGCUGGCUAAUACCCGGUUGGGAUGACGGUACCCAAGGAAUAAGCACCGGCAAACUUCGUGCCAGCCGCCGCGGUAA